rnacentral:rRNA from 1 species
CCUACGGGCGGCAGCAGUGAGGAAUAUUGGUCAAUGGGCUUACGCCUGAACCAGCCAAGUCGCGUGAGGGAAGACUGCCCUAUGGGUUGUAAACCUCUUUUGUCAGGGAGCAACGCCGGCUACGUGUAGCCGGACUGAGAGUACCGGAAGAAAAAGCAUCGGCUAACUCCGUGCCAGCAGCCGCGGUAAUACGGGGGAUGCGAGCGUUAUCCGGAUUUAUUGGGUUAAAAGGGUGCGUAGGCGGAAUGCCAAGUCAGCGGUAAAAGCGCGGGGCUCAACCUCGCUCCGCCGUUGAAACUGGCGUUCUUGAGUGGGCGAGAAGUAUGCGGAAUGCGUGGUGUAGCGGUGAAAUGCAUAGAUAUCACGCAGAACUCCGAUUGCGAAGGCAGCAUACCGGCGCCCAACUGACGCUGAAGCACGAAAGCGUGGGUAUCGAACAGGAUUAGAUACCCUUGUAGUC